GCGCCCGGGGCCCGGGGAGUCACGCCCGGGGCCCGGGGAGCCGCGCCCGGGGUCCGGGGGGUCACGGCGGUCGCGUUCGGGAUCGUGUGGGUGCUC
rnacentral:tRNA from 1 species